UACGUAGGGUGCAAGCGUUGUCCGGAAUUAUUGGGCGUAAGGAGCUCGUAGGCGGUCUGUCGCGUCGGCUGUGAAAACCCGGAGCUCAACUCCGGGCCUGCAGUCGAUACGGGCAGACUGGAGUUCGGCAGGGGAGACUGGAAUUCCUGGUGUAGCGGUGAAAUGCGCAGAUAUCAGGAGGAACACCGGUGGCGAAGGCGGGUCUCUGGGCCGAUACUGACGCUGAGGAGCGAAAGCGUGGGGAGCGAACAGG
rnacentral:rRNA from 1 species